ACAACCGUACGCCGUACGACGUGUAGUGAAAUGCUUUUUACGACUGUCCGUGACAUAAAAUAGAAUUUACGUAGAGUUAGAAAAUGGGAAUGUAUUAAAAGAAAAAGUAUACAAGUACAAUGUGAGGAUUUAAAGAUGGGUGGCAGUAACAGUCUGAUAAAUUGCAGAUGUGUGCAGUUGUUUUGUGUAAUAUAAUGCUGUGCAACAUUAAGCUGAGGUAGUUAUAUGAAAUUGCCCACAUAUAUAAUAAAGAUUUAUAAAUACAGGAUAAAAAGUAAUACAGGAUAAAAUGCUUACUGAAGAUUAAUGAAUAGAAGAUGUAUUAAAGAAUGUAGGUGGUGUGGGUAUUGUGAAAGCGAGUCCAAGCUCUAGUCCUUGGUUCAGGGCCCCUGUGGCCUGUGGGAAGAAGCUCCUCCUCAUUCUCUCUGUAUUAGCUUUCAGGGAGUGGAAGCGGUUCCCUGACUGCAACAGAGAGAAGAGUCCAUUGUUCGGAUGGCUGAGGUCCUUCACUAUCUUCCUGGCCUUGGUCCAGCACCGCUUGCUGUAGAUCUACUGUAGGUCAGGGAGCUCAGUGCGGAUGGUACACUCAGCUGAUCGCACCACCCUCUGAAUUAACCAGAGGAUGACCUCUGGUCCUCUGGAUAGCCACAUCAUCUGACUCCGGCAGAGCUAAUCAGAGCUGUGUUGAGUAAGCAGUUAAAACAGCAACACUGCCACCAACCCAGUCAUAACUCAGCCAGUAAGAUCUACAAUUGUGUUUACAUUCUUUUUAUAUCCCACACCCAUUCAAAUCUACAAAUAGCAGUACAGGAAACUGGACAGAAGAAUUUUGGAGCUAGCCCAGAUGUUCAUGUAACAUCUUACCCACAUAACAAAUGUGAACAUUUACCUUUCCUGACACCCAAGAGCACUGUUUUAAGUUCAAGCACUGAUUUAAGAAAGCCUUCUUUAAAGCCAACCACUUUUUAAAAAUAUAAUCUGGUUGUCUUUCUUUGUUAUGAAUAAAAUUAAUUGCUCAUGCUUCUAGAUUUUGGAACACGGCUGUGGGGAUUUGUCCAUUCAGCCACGAGAGCAUUAGUGGGGUCAGGCACUGAUGUCAGUUGAGAAGGCCUGGAUCACAGUCAGUGUUCCAAUUCAUCCCAAAAGUGAGCCGUAGGGUUGAGGUCAUGGCUCGGUGCAGAACACUCAAGCUCUUCCACACCAACUUUGGCAAAUUCUCAUAUAUAAGCUUGACUAUCUCUUUUUUCUGCUAUUUUAUUAGGCAUACUCUUUUCAGUGGUAAUAUUUUUGUUUUGUUUAUAUAACAUUACCUUGGAUAUUGUACUGGGUCAAUUAAUGGAGUAAAUGAAUGCAAAUGGAAGUAAGAAAAAUUAGCACAUUUGAAUCUAUAACUACUAAUUGUCCAAAUAGCCCAUGCUCCACUGGGAGCAAUUUAGUGUUUAUAAGCACUGCAUGUCUCUGGAGCUGGCAGCCCACACUCGACUGACUUGCCUAUUACUUUAGGGGCAUUUCUGUUCACUCUUGUUUGUAGGGGAAGAGAACAGAGUUUGACUCCUGCAUUAGUGACUAUUUCAAGGAAAGUGCUAGGAUCCUGCUGGAUUUUAAGAACAUUUAACCAAGCUUAAUAGCUUUAUUGAACUGUGCAGAAAGCAUGCUGAGGGUUACAGUCCACUAAGAACCCUUACUCAAAGGAACAAGAGGGCAAGUAGGAAAGAGAAGAACAUAAGCGAGGACAGCUAUAGUGUGUACUAGUACAGGCUUGCUUGUUUGGUAUUAUGAGUAAUGAUGUUACCUGUUCUAACACUGCUUAAUCAUACCCAGUCUUACACUAAAUUGUUAAGGAUUCUAAUGAAUGAGAGCAAAAAAAAAAAAAAAAAAAGAAAAAGAAAUUGCCCUGUGUGUUUUCUUUCAUGCCAUACUAACCUCUUCCAACAUAGAUUCUUAGUUAGAUGGUAUUCUUAGUCCCUGACCUAGUGAAAUAGCACGAGGAUAUUUUUGAUAGAGACUACAGUGCAAUCUGAUAAGUUGCUUUGGAUAAGACCAUCUGCUAAAUGCUGUAAAGGACCAGGGAAGCUGUCCAGGGUUCAGGAAGGUUUAAUAGUUAAUUGCCAUGCAGAAUAUAACCAUCGGAAAUAUGUCUACUUGAUCAAAAUAUAAUGGUAAAAAAAAAAUCUAAAUCUAAAGCAUCACUCAUCAGAUUCCUAUUUCAUCUGUCUUUGAGGAAAGUAGUUGAAGUUAGAGAAGAUUUAACAGAAAGAAGAAAAAGGCAUAUGGUUCUUCUCCAGGACAGUGACCGCUCUUUGAUCCACAAAAAUACUCCAUGGCCUCACACAACAUACCAAGCAAAAACUAAAACAGGAGAGAGAAAACAUAAGCGAUGUUACAGACAACAGCUGAGACAGCAGGCUUUACAAAGUCAACAUCAGCCCCACGGAGUCAAGGGAUUGUGAUCAGUAUGUGCAGUGACCACUGACACAAAUAGUCAUGGUGUACAAGGCAUGAGAAGAAGAAAAAGGAAGCUGGACUUGCUCUUUAAUCACAAACACAGUUCAUAAUCAUACCUCAUAUUUUGGAGCAGGACUGUGGGGUUUUGCUCAUUCAGCCACAAGAGCAUUAAUGGGGUCAGACACUGAUGUCAGGCGAGGAGGCCUGGGGUGCAGUCGGCGUUCCAGUUCAUUCCAAAGUUUGACUGGAAAAACAUACACCCGGUCUCCUGUUCCAGUGACUACAGCUCAUUGCUUUUCUGUUCUCAAGCUCCUGAUCCAUGAAUGAUAAGGUUAAAAUGGUCGAAAUUAUAAACAUUAAGCAUUUGUAAAAAUGAGACAAAAUUAAGUGUCAUGGUACCUAAUGAGACAAAAUUAGUGUCAUAGUACUCUCCAUAUUUUUACUGUUGAUGCUGGCCUGAGAAGCUGGAAUUGAUUCUGUUUUUGAGAUGUUUGCCUUAAAAAGACAACCACGCUGCUCCAGAAAAGUGAUAUCAGCAAACUGACAAUAACUGUAUCAUCAGCAAAUAUUAGGAUGUGCUUAUCACUGCACUAAAAUGUGUAUCUGAAUUGUUUUGUAAGCAGAAGAUAAAUCAAUAAAUAACAGCAUGGGUUUUGAGUGCUCAAUAUACCUGCAUAGGCAUGUAGUGACAGUAGCAAGAUGAUAUUAUUAGUUAUAAUGAAUAUUUGAGAGAUAGAGAGAUAGAGUGCAAAAGAAAAAUGACAAGUAAGCAAAUAACCCCCUCAAGGACACAUCCUACACACACAGACACACCCGGACCAUAACCUGAGAGGGUGUCAUGCACCUGUACAGUGUAAAUACAUUAAGCAGGAUUCUAAUGUACACCUCACAACAACCAGAGUAAAGUCACAUAUUUGCUUAAGAACAUUCUGUCACAAGGAGAUAAUUCAGAGUAGAAUGUUAAACACAUUACAAUAACCUUUACAAUAACAACUAACCAUUUGAAAUAUUCAAUACAUUCAAAACACUAAUUUUAAUAUAACAUAUUCACUCUGAAACAGAAUGUGCUGUAUAAUUUAACGCAUAAAAGAAGUAAAUGCGUGUGAGGACUCCACUUCUAUAUUUUUAAGAAUGGUUUUUCAAAUUCAAAUGAAUGGUAGAGUUUUUGACCUUGUGCUAAACAGUGUGACAGUGUGACUGCAUGAAAUUACUUCUAAUAUCUGCAGAUGGGGGCCACAAGUGUCAGAAUAAUGACUGCAUUGAGGCGGCCCAGUUAUAUCUCAGACCAUAGAGUUUGUUCAACUUUGGCUAGGGCAUUCUGGAGACCGAGAGGCAUCACCAUAUACUGGAGUAAAUUUAUCAGGAAUUCAGUGAAAGAGAGCAUACGAUCACGAGGCCAUAAAUUCAGUCAGCGGGAGAGAGAGAGAGACAGAGAGAGAGAAAGAGAAAGAGAGAGACCCUACCAAGCACCAGGUAAGAGGAAGUCAAGACAAAAUAGCUAAACACUAAAAAGGAACUUGCAAGUAAUGUGAUAUGUACUGUAUGAUCAGUUUACUAUAUUUAGUGAAACACAUUUAAAACAACCCACAUUGACCCCCUUUUCAUUGCAUAUAUAGAGUCAGUGCUUGCCAGUUUGAGAGAAACUACCCAUGUGGUGUUUUGGAUUUAGGGACACACAGGCCCCGUUCACACCGGGCAUUAACAUGCAUCCUGGGUGAUCAGACAGCUGAGAUGUGUAGCCAUUCACACCUGGCAUUAUGAACGUGUAUCCAGUGACCACUUGUAAUCAGAUUUCAAACUUUUCCUCUGGGAAAAGGCUGUCAUGCACAUUUAUGAUGUCAGUCUUCUGCUGCAUUUAUUUUCAGGCAGAAAUUUCCCAUGAAUCCUACAUCAUGUACUUUUAUGGGCUGUUUCAAAAGUUUUAAUCAUAUGAUAUUCCACUGUGUUUAUUUUCAGGCAGAAAUGUCCCAUGAAUCCUAUCUCAUGUACCUUUAUGGACUGUUUCCAAUGCUUUAAUUAUGUAGUCUGCUAACAAAACUUAUAAAUGAAUGAGAGAUGAGAAGACGAAUGAAGCUAUGAAAAGCAGUUGUUUUUGUCUCUUCUGUUAUAGCGUCACUUUAUCCAUUAGCAUAGCAGUGGAGAGCUGUAAAGUUCAGCAUAAUUUCCAAACAAUCUGGCAAUGAUUACAUAUUUUCUGACUAGGGCAAUGACAUAGUUGAUUAGUACAUCCUUCAUUGCUGUCUGGGAUGCAUCGAGAAGCAUUUGCGUUCAGAAUCUCGCAGUCAUUACAGAUUUUGCAAGGUGGCCAUAUACGUCCCAGACCACAUCUGAACAUGGUUUGAGUGAUCAGAUGACAGUGUGUCUUCAAGAACCAUUUGACCACCUAGCAUUACUAGCAUUACUAGCCAUUAAUACAGUAGGAAAUUGGAGGCCAUUAGGUUAGGAUCUGUUUUGAAUUACACUGCACAUUGAUAUAUUUCCAGUAUAUUAGUCUGUGACGUGUAUAAUUGCACUACAUGUUUUAAUUUUCUGCUUUCUCUUAUUUCUACUGAAACCCUAAUGGGAAACUGCUGAUUGUUUCAGUUAAGCCAGUGAUCCUUUUUUAUAAAGACAUAAUAUUCUACAAAAAGAAAAAAAAACUGUUUCAGAUGUUAGAGAAAACUUCUAAACAUCCCUUGUGUGUUAAGAGCAAGAUGUAAAUGUUCUCAUUUGAAAGUGUGCUCAUUCGGAGGUGCCUUUGAAGAGACCUCAUUUGGAGGAGGCUUCAUUUAGCUUUCGCAGAAGUGGACUCUGACUGAGAUUGGUUGUAACAGCUUCUUCCUCCACUGUUCUGCAGACAAGCAAUAUUUCUGAUUAAGAUUUGUGGACUUUAAAAAUAAGAUAAUAGUAAUUCACUGCUACUGUCAUAUUUGUGCAUUUAAUAUUGGUCUUAAAUGACAUUCUGCAUAUAGGUAGCAUUGUACAUGAGCUGAUAUCAUGCAAGAAAAAUCUAUUAAUGAUCCAUUAAUGAUUGUCUAUUAAAAAAUCUAUUAAUGGUCAGAAUCACACUUAACUGAGACACAGCACUGUUUUUCCGUGUAACUCUCUGAAUAACACUUACGUCUGUAGCUAUGUCUGAGGUCUGAAUAACAUGCUCAAUUUUGGUAUUAACUUAACACACAUAACUCAAAUCGGACUGUGGCACUAAGAGAACAAAUACAAACAUUUACAUCCAAAUCCAAACCCUUGUAUUGAACUCAGGCAGUAAACAUCUUCUGUAACAUAUUGAUCAGCCUACAGAUUGUCCCAUGAGAAGCAAUUUGCAUGAGACCCAUGUCUGAAAUCUGAGCGUCCAUGUGAACUAUGAUUCACCGUUAUACUGCUGCACGAAAGUGAAAGCUGAAAGAGUUCCAGAGAAAAAUAGUUCUCCUAUUCUUUUCUAUCUGCUACAUACUUCUACUUCCUGGAAUUUCAACACAGCCAACACAAAUAUACACACUGAGCAAGUUCUUCCUAGACGUCAAUGGCAAAAAA